rnacentral:rRNA from 1 species
UACGGAGGAUGCAAGCGUUAUCCGGAAUUAUUGGGCGUAAAGCGUCCGUAGGUGGUUUAGUAAGUCUGCUGUUAAAGCGCGGGGCUUAACUCCGUAUCGGCAGUGGAAACUACUAGACUAGAGUGUGGUAGGGGUAGAGGGAAUUCCCAGUGUAGCGGUGAAAUGCGUAGAUAUUGGGAAGAACACCGGUGGCGAAGGCGCUCUACUGGGCCAUAACUGACACUGAUGGACGAAAGCUAGGGGAGCGAACAGG